GAUGAACGCUGGCGGCGUGCCUAAUACAUGCAAGUCGAGCGAACGGACGAGAAGCUUGCUUCUCUGAUGUUAGCGGCGGACGGGUGAGUAACACGUGGAUAACCUACCUAUAAGACUGGGAUAACUUCGGGAAACCGGAGCUAAUACCGGAUAAUAUUUUGAACCGCAUGGUUCAAAAGUGAAAGACGGUCUUGCUGUCACUUAUAGAUGGAUCCGCGCUGCAUUAGCUAGUUGGUAAGGUAACGGCUUACCAAGGCAACGAUGCAUAGCCGACCUGAGAGGGUGAUCGGCCACACUGGAACUGAGACACGGUCCAGACUCCUACGGGAGGCAGCAGUAGGGAAUCUUCCGCAAUGGGCGAAAGCCUGACGGGGCAACGCCGCGUGAGUGAUGAAGGUCUUCGGAUCGUAAAACUCUGUUAUUAGGGAAGAACAUAUGUGUAAGUAACUGUGCACAUCUUGACGGUACCUAAUCAGAAAGCCACGGCUAACUACGUGCCAGCAGCCGCGGUAAUACGUAGGUGGCAAGCGUUAUCCGGAAUUAUUGGGCGUAAAGCGCGCGUAGGCGGUUUUUUAAGUCUGAUGUGAAAGCCCACGGCUCAACCGUGGAGGGUCAUUGGAAACUGGAAAACUUGAGUGCAGAAGAGGAAAGUGGAAUUCCAUGUGUAGCGGUGAAAUGCGCAGAGAUAUGGAGGAACACCAGUGGCGAAGGCGACUUUCUGGUCUGUAACUGACGCUGAUGUGCGAAAGCGUGGGGAUCAAACAGG
rnacentral:rRNA from 1 species